GCAGAGCGCUUUUUUAUAGGCGCCAUUAAAAGAUAAGAUUCAUAUAAAUAUUUCACUGUAUGCUGGAAACUCCUUAGAGCUUUUGUUACUAUAAAUUCGUUAUUUUAUUUAAGUAAAAAUACAAAAGAUUGGACAAUCAGCAGGAAACCAAAGAUUUUCUAAUUCAUUUAAUCAAGUAGGAUCCUCAGAGACUAUGUGUGAAACACCGUAUCAUAAUAUAUUAGAUACGCUGAAGAUAUAGUCCAUACUUAUAUUAACAUAUGA
rnacentral:ncRNA from 1 species